UCUCCACCACCCCUUUCCCUCACACGUCCCACACACACUCUUGGUUUCCUGCCUGCUCUUCCCCUGGAUCCCCACAUGGCUUACACUCAUUUCUCUACGUCUCCACUGCCCUGUCAGAAAGGAAGGUCUUUCCUAACCAGCCAUUUAACUGCAUAACCGAGGAACCCUGCUGGAGGCAUUAUCCCUUCCUGACGGGUUACACAUUUACCUGCUGCUACACCCCUCCAUGCGCCCAUGAGAGUGGCAGUUCCAUGAAAACAGGGACAUGUAUUUUUUCCCCCCAGUUUUAGUGUCUAGAAUGCUCUCCAGUGGGCACUUCCUAAAUACUUGCCGAAUAAAUUAGAAAACAAGAACUCCGAUCAGAAAGGACGAUGGACUUAAAAUCUAACAAGAGUGUGGACAUGAAGCUAAAUUUUGUCUGGAAAGAUGAAAGGCCAGGAAAAGGCCUGACAUUCACAUUUCUGUAAAGUGGAUGUUCUCCCCCAGUCUCUGACUUUUGAAAUAAGAGUAAAAGGCCCCAAGGACCCUUUGCGGCCCACGGGUGCUUGCCCCUAGGAGGGGCACAUUUCGAGACCUUUAUGCGGAAAGAACCAUCACAAUGCUGAUAUGUAAAGGUGUUUACCUGUCUCCUUUUGGUGCAGCGCCACGUCUUCUGGAAACAUUCAGUGGCCACGGACACUCUUUGGAGUGACUAGUGGUUUGGACCCCCGCAGCUCAUCCUAGGGAAAACAAUCAGAGAGCGCUGCUGAGAAGCACACCCGCGGCCCCAGAGAGGAGGACAGACAAGGCACUCGAACUGCCCGAAUACAACAACAAACCCCAGCAACUCAGCGGCAUGGCCCAUCUCCUCCUCCCCCUCAGUCCCGUAUUCUGGGCACUGUGACGAGAAGCCGCCUUUCCUGAUGACACAGUGCGGGGCAUGGCGGUUGCAGCGACUGGGGGAGCCGAGCGGCGGCUCGCCUUAGCUCGGGAGAGUGAAGGCGAAGCCCAGCAUCCAGCGGGCUCACAGCACCCUUGAAGGGCCUUGCCUCUGGCCUCUCGGGGCCACCGUGGGUGGGAGAUGUCGCCUAGAGGGGGCGCCGGCUGCGCGGCUGGGACUGAGCGCGGUGAAGUGUCCGCGUGCCCGCCUGGGGAGUGGUCCAGGGAAGGAAACAGCGGGUCAGAACCCAGGAGGAGUAUCUUUUUGCUAUGGUGACCUUUCCCUCGGAACCAGGACUAAGCAGACAUCCGUUGAGGCUCAUUGCUUAGCAACAUCAAGGGUUAAUAAAAAUGCAGAAUAAAAGGCAGGUGGUACAAAAG